rnacentral:rRNA from 1 species
UACGUAGGGUCCGAGCGUUGUCCGGAAUUACUGGGCGUAAAGAGCUCGUAGGUGGUUUGUCGCGUUGUUCGUGAAAACUCACAGCUCAACUGUGGGCGUGCGGGCGAUACGGGCAGACUAGAGUACUGCAGGGGAGACUGGAAUUCCUGGUGUAGCGGUGGAAUGCGCAGAUAUCAGGAGGAACACCGGUGGCGAAGGCGGGUCUCUGGGCAGUAACUGACGCUGAGGAGCGAAAGCGUGGGGAUCAAACAGG